rnacentral:misc_RNA from 1 species
GAAAUGCGAUAAGUAGUGUGAAUUGCAGAAUUCAGUGAAUCAUCGAAUCUUUGAACGCACAUUGCGCCCCUCGGUAUUCCGUGGGGCAUGCCUGUUCGAGCGUCAUCUACACCCUCAAGCUCUGCUUGGUGUUGGGCGUCUGUCCCGCCUCCGCGCGCGGACUCGCCCCAAAUGCAUUGGCAGCGGUUCCUUGCCCCCCUCUUUGCGCAGCACAUUGCCCUUCGAGGCGGCGGCGGCCCGCGUCCAACAAGCUCAACCCCCCCGUCUUUGACCUCGGAUCAGGUAGGGAUACCCGCUGAACUUAAGC